rnacentral:rRNA from 1 species
GAUGAACGCUGGCGGCGUGCCUAAUACAUGCAAGUCGAGCGAACGGACGAGAAGCUUGCUUCUCUGAUGUUAGCGGCGGACGGGUGAGUAACACGUGGAUAACCUACCUAUAAGACUGGGAUAACUUCGGGAAACCGGAGCUAAUACCGGAUGAUAUUUUGAACCGCAUGGUUCAAAAGUGAAAGACGGUCUUGCUGUCACUUAUAGAUGGAUCCGCGCUGCAUUAGCUAGUUGGUAAGGUAACGGCUUACCAAGGCAACGAUGCAUAGCCGACCUGAGAGGGUGAUCGGCCACACUGGAACUGAGACACGGACCAGACUCCUACGGGAGGCAGCAGUAGGGAAUCUUCCGCAAUGGGCGAAAGCCUGACGGAGCAACGCCGCGUGAGUGAUGAAGGUCUUCGGAUCGUAAAACUCUGUUAUUAGGGAAGAACAUAUGUGUAAGUAACUGUGCACAGCUUGACGGUACCUAAUCAGAAAGCCACGGCUAACUACGUG